GACGAACGCUGGCGGCGUGCUUAACACAUGCAAGUCGAACGGUAAGGCCCUUCGGGGUACACGAGUGGCGAACGGGUGAGUAACACGUGGGUGAUCUGCCCUGCACUUCGGGAUAAGCCUGGGAAACUGGGUCUAAUACCGGAUAGGACUCCGGACUGCAUGGUCUGGGGUGGAAAGCUUUUGCGGUGUGGGAUGGGCCCGCGGCCUAUCAGCUUGUUGGUGGGGUGAUGGCCUACCAAGGCGACGACGGGUAGCCGGCCUGAGAGGGUGACCGGCCACACUGGGACUGAGAUACGGCCCAGACUCCGACGGGAGGCAGCAGUGGGGAAUAUUGCACAAUGGGCGCAAGCCUGAUGCAGCGACGCCGCGUGAGGGAUGACGGCCUUCGGGUUGUAAACCUCCUUCAGUAGGGACGAAGCGCAAGUGACGGUACCUACAGAAGAAGGACCGGCCAACUACGUGCCAGCCGCCGCGGUAA
rnacentral:rRNA from 1 species